rnacentral:rRNA from 1 species
GACGAACGCUGGCGGCGUGCUUAACACAUGCAAGUCGAACGGAAAGGCCCUGCUUUUGUGGGGUGCUCGAGUGGCGAACGGGUGAGUAACACGUGAGUAACCUGCCCUUGACUUUGGGAUAACUUCAGGAAACUGGGGCUAAUACCGGAUAGGAGCUCCUGCUGCAUGGUGGGGGUUGGAAAGUUUCGGCGGUUGGGGAUGGACUCGCGGCUUAUCAGCUUGUUGGUGGGGUAGUGGCUUACCAAGGCUUUGACGGGUAGCCGGCCUGAGAGGGUGACCGGCCACAUUGGGACUGAGAUACGGCCCAGACUCCUACGGGAGGCAGCAGGGGGGAAUAUUGCACAAUGGGCGGAAGCCUGAUGCAGCAACGCCGCGUGCGGGAUGACGGCCUUCGGGUUGUAAACCGCCUUCGCCUGUGACGAAGCGUGAGUGACGGUAAUGGGUAAAGAAGCACCGGCUAACUACGUG